rnacentral:rRNA from 1 species
AAUAGAUACCCGGAUAGUCCACGCCGUAAACGAUGAGUGCUAAGUGUUAGAGGGUUUCCGCCCUUUAGUGCUGCAGCUAACGCAUUAAGCACUCCGCCUGGGGAGUACGGUCGCAAGACUGAAACUCAAAGGAAUUGACGGGGGCCCGCACAAGCGGUGGAGCAUGUGGUUUAAUUCGAAGCAACGCGAAGAACCUUACCAGGUCUUGACAUCCUCUGACAACUCUAGAGAUAGAGCGUUCCCCUUCGGGGGACAGAGUGACAGGUGGUGCAUGGUUGUCGUCAGCUCGUGUCGUGAGAUGUUGGGUUAAGUCCCGCAACGAGCGCAACCCUUGAUCUUAGUUGCCAGCAUUUAGUUGGGCACUCUAAGGUGACUGCCGGUGACAAACCGGAGGAAGGUGGGGAUGACGUCAAAUCAUCAUGCCCCUUAUGACCUGGGCUACACACGUGCUACAAUGGAUGGUACAAAGGGCUGCAAGACCGCGAGGUCAAGCCAAUCCCAUAAAACCAUUCUCAGUUCGGAUUGUAGG